rnacentral:tRNA from 1 species
GUCGCUAUAGUUUAAUUGGAUAAAACGCGGGCCUCCGGAGCCUGUAAUCUGGGUUCAACUCCCAGUGGCGACACCA